rnacentral:rRNA from 1 species
GAUGAACGCUGGCGGCGUGCCUAAUACAUGCAAGUCGAGCGAACGGACGAGAAGCUUGCUUUUCUGAUGUUAGCGGCGGACGGGUGAGUAACACGUGGAUAACCUACCUAUAAGACUGGGAUAACUUCGGGAAACCGGAGCUAAUACCGGAUAAUAUUUUGAACCGCAUGGUUCAAAAGUGAAAGACGGUCUUGCUGUCACUUAUAGAUGGAUCCGCGCUGCAUUAGCUAGUUGGUAAGGUAACGGCUUACCAAGGCAACGAUGCAUAGCCGACCUGAGAGGGUGAUCGGCCACACUGGAACUGAGACACGGUCCAGACUCCUACGGGAGGCAGCAGUAGGGAAUCUUCCGCAAUGGGCGAAAGCCUGACGGAGCAACGCCGCGUGAGUGAUGAAGGUCUUCGGAUCGUAAAACUCUGUUAUUAGGGAAGAAAAUAUGUGUAAGUAACUGUGCAAAUCUUGAAGGUACCUAAUCAGAAAGCCACGGCUAACUACGUG